rnacentral:hammerhead_ribozyme from 1 species
ACCAGCUAACGAGUCCCAAAUAGGACGAAAUGCGUGUCUUGGAU